rnacentral:rRNA from 1 species
AAUGGACGCUGGCGGCAGGCCUAAAACAUGCAAGUCGAACGGUAACAGGUCUUCGGACGCUGACGAGUGGCGCACGGGUGAGUAACAUGUGGGAAUAUGCCUUUUGGUACGGAACAACAGUUGGAAACGACUGCUAAUACCGUAUGGUCCCUUCGGGGUAAAGAUUUAUCGCCAAAAGAUUAGCCCGAGUUGGAUUAGCUAGUUGGUAGGGUAAUGGCCUACCAAGGCUACGAUCUAUAGCUGGACUGAGAGGAUGAUCAGCCACACUGGAACUGAGACACGGUCCAGACUCCUACGGGAGGCAGCAGUUAGGAAUAUUGGACAAUGGGCGCAAGCCUGAUCCAGCCAUGCCGCGUGAGUGAUGAAGGCCUUCGGGUUGUAAAGCUCUUUAGCCGACGAAUAUAAUGACUGUAGUCGGAAAAUAAGCCCCGGCUAACUUCGUGCCAGCAGCCGCGGUAA